AUGGCUGUUUCCUCCUGGGUUCCACCUUGUCUUCCCGACCCCGCCGCCGCCGCCUCAGGCUCAGGCGAGUCAGGCCUGGUCCUCCUCGACAGGUGGUGCUACAUCGCCGACCUUCCCAACAACACCACCGCCGAGGGCACCACCAGCAGCGGCUUGCCUAUCAAGGUGACCCUCCGCGCCGCCCGCCCGCCACAUCUCUCCCACUUUUGUGUCCACUGCCCUGGCCUGGAAUUCCGCAGAACAGGGCCCAAGAUUGUGGCCACCGACGCAGAUCUCGUCCUCCUCUGCGUUCCCAUCCACCCCAACAGCACCACCGGAACAUCGGACUGGGACUACUUCGUCUACAGCCCGCGCGCCCAGCGGCUAGAUCUGCUACCCAACCCGGACCCCAUAUGGCUAGACGACCCCGCAACUGCCCUCAUUAGCCGCCAAGACGGCGGCUUGCUAUGUCGUUGCUGCUCUCGGUGA
rnacentral:rRNA from 1 species